GCUGGAGACACUUGAGGAGUUUAUGAGGGACAAGGCGAAGAGGCCGAGGACACCCCCGCGUCGAGAGGAAUUGCCCGCACCUGUGGAGGAGGAGCCGGUGCAGGAUAUGAACAGUAUCAAAGCCCUCCCGGCUCCAUCAGAUUAUGAGGAGCAGCCGCCGGUGAAGGUUGAGCCUGAGAAGCCGAAACCGCAGCCCCAGCCCCAGCAGCAAGAGGCAGACCUAGUGAAUCUUAGG
rnacentral:misc_RNA from 1 species